AGAGUUUGAUCCUGGCUCAGAUUGAACGCUGGCGGCGUGCUUAACACAUGCAAGUCGAUCGGUAACGCGGGGGCAACCCUGGCGACGAGAGGCGGACGGGUGAGGAACGCUUGGGAAUCUGCCUAUCAGCGGGGGACAACCCGGGGAAACCCGGGCUAAUACCGCAUACGCUCUACGGAGGAAAGCCGGGGACCGCAAGGCCUGGCACUGAUAGAUGAGCCCAAGUCGGAUUAGCUAGUUGGCGGGGUAACGGCCCACCAAGGCGACGAUCCGUAGCUGGUCUGAGAGGACGAUCAGCCACACCGGAACUGAGACACGGUCCGGACUCCUACGGGAGGCAGCAGUGGGGAAUAUUGGACAAUGGGCGAAAGCCUGAUCCAGCGACGCCGCGUGGGUGAAGAAGGCCUGCGGGUUGUAAAGCCCUUUCGGUAGGGACGAAAGCUCUCGACCUAACACGUCGGGAGGUUGACUUAACCUACAAAAGAAGCACCGGCUAACUCUGUGCCAGCAGCCGCGGUAAUACAGAGGGUGCGAGCGUUAAUCGGAAUUACUGGGCGUAAAGCGCACGUAGGCGGCUUGGUAUGUCGGUUGUGAAAUCCCCGGGCUCAACCUGGGAACUGCAUCCGAAACUGCUUUGCUAGAGUAUGGGAGAGGGAAGUGGAAUUUCUCGGUGUAGCGGUGAAAUGCGUAGAUAUCGGAAGGAACAUCAGUGGCGAAGGCGACUUCCUGGAUCAAUACUGACGCUCAGGUGCGAAAGCGUGGGGAGCAAACAGGAUUAGAUACUCCUGAUAGUCCACGCUCUAAACGAUGACACUGGGAUGUCGGGGAGGGUCUGCCUUUCCGGUGUCGUAGCUAACGCGUUAAGUUGUUCCGCCUGGGAGUACGGUCGCAAGGUUGAAACUCAAAGGAUCG
rnacentral:rRNA from 1 species